CGUUGUUCGUUGUUCUUACGUUGUUCAUAAGGCAUUCAUUAGGGCACCCUGCGAAAGGGGGUUUCAUACUGCGUUCAUGCAAAAUCUUGGACAAGAUCACUCACCUAGCUACGAACUUAGGAACGGUCCACGAACCCUCCAUUCUUAUAAGUCCGCCUUGAGAAGGUUGUACAAAAUGGUCCAUAAAUCGUUUGCACAGUGUUCGUAGCUGUUCGUAACGGCAUUUGUGACUGAGGCUUUAUACUGACAAGAUGAGAAAAUCGUAACACUUGCAGAUGC